rnacentral:tRNA from 1 species
UAUCCAGCGGUGUUAGGGCACUAAGAAUUUUGAUUUCUUAAGAGAGGUUCAAUUCCUCCUGAU